GGAGAAUAAAAAAGGCGGCGGCAGGCUCUCUGAGAGGCUCCCGACUCUAUCUCUGCGUCUUUUUCUUCAUCCUCACUCCCCCAUUCAGGUGCUGUUCGACAAGUGAUGGCUGGCUCCGUCACGGGUGGUGCCCGAACAGGGACUUGAAUACGGGGGACCAUAGUGAAGGACACCGUGGAUCGUGAGCUUGGAUAAGACGCUGAAGGUGCCAGGUGGCUGCCUGAAAGAUGGUUUGCGGGAAAUUCUCCUGCCCCUCAGGAUGAUCCCGACAACUGUCCUGCUGAUAAAUCUAAUGAUGAUGCUUAAUGAGAAGGUUUAUUGGACUUAUGUACCUGAUCCACCUGUUGUACAUCCAACGAGCUGAAAAAAUGGAGAAGUAAUGGUAUGGGUGAACAAUACCAGGCUGUUGCAUGAGCCGGCGGCCCCUGACAAGAACGAGGUCCGAUUGUUCAACUACACGGGAUCAGAAACCGGAACCCCCAUAUGUUUCUCCAAAAUCAACAGAACUGAUCGAAUAAGACUGAGUGCUCGCACCCUGGCAGGAAGGCAGGUAGAUCAGUGCAAAGGCGGGAUCACUGGAGUCCAUCUACAUCUACCUGUGGGUAUGGAGACCACUGGUGUAGUUAGUGCCUCUGACUUUUAAUGCUCCAAUAAGACUAUUCCAUGGAAGAGAUGUGUGGCGGAUGCCUCUGUGAGAUACAAUAUUACUGGAUUUGAUACUUAUGUUUUAGACUGGUCUGAAAAUUCUUGUCAUCCCAAAAGAAAUGUCGCUGCAUAUGUCAUGCGCUCUUAGGUAUUGCUUGUAGGAAAUAUUAGUGUUCAGAAAGAUUAUGAUUAUUAUAAUGUAAUUUACUUCAAUUGUCAAAUAAGCAAUUGUGUCACCCGAACAGAAAAUCAGAUAAUGGUUUUGCGAAUGUGUUCUUAGAUUUGGAUAUUAUAGAUCUCCAAAAUGCAGAACCCCUAAAAUUUGAUGCAGCCCAGGCUGCACAGGAUUUUAUCGAACAAAUUAGAAAAGUUCUGCCAUCUACAUCUGCAUUUAUGCGGUAACUCAUUUCCAUAGUAAUUAUUGGAGGAGGGCUGCCUCUUAGAUGCAUGAUCCUUCCAGCACUACUACAGAUGUUUAUGCAUUCUUUAAUGAGGAUGGCUGGAAGUAUUCAUGGUCUACAAUUACAUGCUACACCGCCUAAACCCAUGGUGUAAUUCCCUGCAGAGGCUGACAGUCAAUGACGGGUAAGAGGAAUACAGGAAAUCACCAACCUAAGACAGAGCAAGAGUACUGUGAUGCUCUUGACUCCAUGAUGGGUAAGGGAUUUCUUUAUAUUCCUCACCUAAGACAGGCACAGCCUAUCUGCGUGAUCAAGGGACCUUGAUCAUAAUAUAUAAAAUGGGGAGAUGUGGAGAGCGGUGUUAGCCAUAGAGGCUCCGUGUUAAAUCUCACUCUCCAUUGUAUAGAGCAAGGAGACUGUUACGAGGAACCGCGUCCUUGCCAAAUUAGAUGUUUACCUUCAGAAAUUGUCCUGGAACAUGAUGAACAUUUUGUAAACCCGAGAAACGAGAAAGCCCAUGAGGGUGGGGAAUUUCCAAAGAACUAGAGAACAAGGAAGCAGGUGUCUUUGAUAAGGGUCAUGAUUAAUAACCAAAUUCACCUGUGAUAAAAAGGGGAGGAGAAUAAAAAAGGUGGCAGCAGGCUCUCUGAGAGGCUCCCGACUCUAUCUCUGCGUCUUUUUCUUCAUCCUCACUCCCCCAUUCAGGUGCAGUUUGACAAGUGACGGCUGGCUCCUUCACUGAAGUGCUUUGGAAAGUGUUCACAUAUCCGUGGUAAAAGCACCAUAGUCUUGAUCAGGGUUCCAAUGGGAAACACAUAGGUGAACCCAGGAGAAUUUAAUAGAGGGAUUGUUUUUGAAAGUGGAAAUAUCGGAACCACUCUUUUUUUUUUUUUUUUUUUGGUACUGGGGAUCGAACUCAGAUCCUUGCGUUUGCGAGGUAGGCAGAGGAACCACUGCGCUAAAUCCCCAGCCCAGAACCACUCUUGAACUCUCUGGAUGAGCAGUCAGUCAUAGGGUCAAGAGGAUGAAGACAAGCUUCAAACAUCUGCACCUUAAACGUUCCUGUCCAUGCUGGGGUUUGUUCCCAAGUUCUUGAGGGUGAAAAGCACCAUGCAUGGCAGAGGAUAGAAAAAGGCAUUGUUUGUGGAGGGUAUACAGACUGUGAGCCUCCGUGGUGCAGGACGGAGCUGGGGUGGGACAAUGCAGGGCUGGGUCAGGGAUAUAGGCCUCCAUUUACACUCUUGCCUUGGGCCUACCAGUGUUAGGCAUGGACCCGUAUAAAGUAAGGAGAAACUAACAAGAGAUAGAACAGUACCCCAAGCUAGCAACCAAGAAACCAUGAUUAACCCUAGGCCUAAAGGACCAAACAGAGAGGGCAGCUUCCAGAAUCCAGGAGCUGUGGGAGAAAGCUACCGCUAGGAGCUCCAGUCUUUGGCUUGUGAAUGGAACUGACUCCAGGGAAGAUCUCCAGGCAGUCAAGGUUAUUUACACCAAGUUCAUUCUCCUCUGGCUCACUGAAAUCCUGACAGCCCCCUCCCCUACCCCACACCAGUCCUAACCAGAAUCAUGAAGGGUGAGGGAAUGUUAAAGCAGUCCACAAAGGCCAACCCUCACAAGGCAAAGAGGAAGAGUGCAGCUGGAUCUGGAGUAUUAAAUGGUAGGCAUCAUCCAUUCUACUAAAAAGAGUAAUGUAGUAUGUGAGUAAGCAGCUGGGACUGCGGAAGAGCAAAAAUGUUACCUCAGCACUGAAAAAAAGCAUUGGUACCUCUCUUCUCUGGAUACUUAGUUUUUAUCUAUCUGUACCUCUUUCUUUCUAUUCCUUCCUCCGACUAAGUUUAUCUCCUUGACCAAAUUUAGGUUCCCUCGAGCUCUUUUCUCAACUAGGCCCUGAGUUUUGGGCUUCUGUGUUAAUCUUUUCAUUGUGCAAUUUUAGCAAGAAUCCUGCUAAGUCAGUGUGACCAGUAUCUCCUACCCUACAUAUCUCACCUCUCUUGAUAUUUGAUCAGGUUCCUUAUCCCUUCUUCGUUCACGUGAUGCCCGAUUGCUUUGGUCUGUCUUCCUCAAGAUUCCUGUUAGGUGGAUUUUGCCAGAUCUCCCAUAUCACUGAUGUUUCUGCUUAGCAUUUUCCGUCUACUGAUGCCCAACCUGCUCCUUGGCUAUAAUUCUCAUUUUUCCUUAUUGAGUUCAGGAUUGAGCCCAACCCGUCUCCCUUAUUUCAAAACCCCACUGCAGUAUUUCCUAUGCCUAUGGCAAGGGUCCUAAUAACAGAGAAUUAUAUUAUUGAUUUGUGUGUUUACUAUAUUACAUACAUGAUUGGGGGGCACUAGGAAUUGAACCCACAGACUUGUGCAUGGUAGGUAUAGCCCUCUACCGCUGAACUAUACCCCAGCACCUCUUGUUAAAAAAUAAAGUUUGGUGUAAGACAGCAUACUACAAGUCCCUAGUGACUAAUAAUGCUUAGCACAUUUUCAUGUGUUUAUUGGCCAUUUUUCUAUCUUUGGAAAGGUCCAAUAAGUCUCUCAGCCAUUUAAAAUUUUUAAUUGGAUUUGUGGUUGGAUUUUAGAAGUUUUUUAUAUAUUCUAUAUAUUACACUCUUAUGGGAUAUUUUCUCCCAUUCUCUAUAUGGCCUUUCCUAAUAAUGCUCGUUGACUGCACAAGUCUUCAGUUUUGAUAGUGUCCAAUUUAUGUUUGCUUUAGUGAGAGACCAUCACCUAAAGGUCAUGAAAGUUUACACCCAUGUGUUCUUCAAAUAGUUUCAUACUUUUAAUCCUUUAUUUAAGACUUUGGUUCACUUUGAUUUAGUUUUUGUAUAUGGUUGUGAAGUAAGGAUAAUCUUUAUAUUUUUAAAUGUUUACAUCUUAUGUGAUCAUUUAAGUGCCUACACAAUGUACUUAAUUUGUAUUCUUGACACAUAAAGCCUAAAAUAUUUGCUAUCUGGGUUCUUCAUAUAAAAAGCUUGCCAACCCCUAUAGCAAGAUGCAGCCUUUGCAUAUAAGGUGUUUAAUAAAUGUUUAAUGGAUAUAUUCAUUCAACAAAUAUUUAUGAACCUUCUACUGAACACAAAGCACUUACCAAUGUAUUAUGGGGUAGGAAGAGGUUUCAAAGAUAAAUGAGAAAUCAUUAAGGUCCUUAUCAAAUUUAUUACAUCUAAGUAAUAGUUAAGUUUACCUAGCCAAGAUGCCAAAUGCUAGGGAUUAAAAAGUUUUCUUUGUAAAUGUCAGUCCUGAAUGGUGACAAAAGCUGAAAUGUAACAAUUAUUUCAAAUUGUCUUUAGAACAAGAUACAUAAUAAUUUAGAAAGAUACACGUAAUAGAGUGUACAUGCACGUCCACACUCAUUUCCUUUUCUUUGGUAAAUUCUAGAGAAAUUAACAGAGCUGUUGAACUACUAAGAAUGAUUGGAAUUACUGUCACAGGAGAAAGAAAAACAUUGGCACCACAAGCUGAUCUUUCUGCACCCUUUUUUGUUAGUAGGAUAGUCUUGUGUAGGCAGCAAAGAGAGCAUGUUAUUGCUUAUCUGUGGAUCCAAGAAAUGAAAUUAAAAUGUUCUUGCAACUGAAAUCUGUCUUGUGUAUCACAGUCCUCUAGAAGUGACCCAGUGUCCCUGCUCAUGAGUGGGAAAGGACACAUUUUACAUUUCAAUCUCUCUUAAUGGAUAGAGGUACAAAUGAGGCAAACACAAAAAACACGAAUCUGACCCCCUUUGUGAGGCUUUAUGUCAACAAAUCCUUUGAAAAGUGUAUGAGUUAGGGUUUGCGUUUGUAACAGGAAACUCAACAGAACAGUGACAUAAGCCAGAGCCCUCAUUUUACCUGUGUAAAUAAGGCCUGCAGGUAGGAGUCAGGGCACACUGGCGCUCCUUCCACACAGCUAUCUUCAGCAUGUGGGUUGAUGAUCCGGGCACAACUGGCUCCUCCACCCUCACCUCCACUUUUGCAUCUAUAUAGCAGGGAGAAGGGAAGGGAAGGGGCAAAAUGUAUGUGCUGGAUGAAUCUGUGCUCUUUUCUAGAAUCUUCCCUCAGUGACCUUCAUGUCCUUCUUAUUGGACAGAACUGUGUCACAGGGCAAUUUCUAAUUUCAAGAGAAAUGUAGCUUUAUAGCUAGGUCCAAAUAAGGGACCUAUCAAUUAAGGAAAAAAAGUUAAGGGUGUAUCCCACAUAUACUGUUCUCACUUGGAAACCCAAUGCUGACAACUUCUGUAAUCUCUAACAUACACAUGAUUUACCAAGAAGUUUACUAAAAUGCAGACUGGGAUUCAACAGAACUAGGGAGGAGUUUGCAAAUGAUGACCAUACUCCAAAAUAGGAAAAUCAACGAGUCUUCUCUUCAGUCAGAAAAGAAUCAACUGAUUUCUUGCUUUUGGUUUAAUGUAUGAUUUAAAAAUUUAAAUCAUAUUUUUCACAUGCUACUAUGAUGAAAUAAGAACAACUCAAGUGAUCUGUAGUAUCUUUGCAAAUAUAUUUUGAGCUAUAAUCACAUAAUGAAAACACCAUCAAAUAAACAGAAACUGUGGGAUUUUGUACAAGUGGCCUCAACUUGUCAAAAAAAAUUAAUGGCAUGACAAACAACAGAGGCAGGAGAACUAUUCUAGAUUAAAGAGACUAAGAACACAACAGCCAAAUGCAGUGCAUAAACCUUGAUCAUUCCUGAAUUUAAAAAAUAAUCAGCCCUAAAAGAUAUUUUAGAGACAACUGGGUAAAUUUAAAUUUGAGUCAUAUUGUACAAUUAAGUUACAUUAUGGAAUUUAUAAAUUUUCUUAGGUGUAACCAUACUAGCUUUUGUAAGAGAAGGUCCUUAUUUUAGGGAGUGUCAUUUCAAUUAUUUAGGGGAGAAGAACCAUUAAUGGCUGUAAUUUGCUUUCAAAUAAUUCAGGAAAUAUAUAUUUUGAGAGAGUGAGAGAAAAGAUAAAGCAAAUAUAGAGGACCAUAUUAACAAUUAAUGAAUUUAGGUAGAGCGUUUACAAGUGUUUAUUGCUAUGUUUGAAAAUUUCCAGGUAGAGAGUAGAAAAAAAAUUAGUCUUAUAGUUGUAGCACAUAGAGGUGAGGAAUUGGCUUUUUCUUUUCUUUAGAAGUAUCCUAAGAAAUAACCAUUUGCAAGUAAGAAGACAACACAGCAGCAUCCUUAACAAGAAAACACUUCUAAUAGAAACAUUUUUUAAUUUUUUAUCCUGAAGAGCUUUCCUCCUCCAUGAUCCCAAGUCCCUUGGGACACAUUGCAGUACUUUCAGGGUAGGUCCAAAGUAAAUAUAUAAAGUAUGUGGCUAGACCUGUGUCCCUGAGAGGACCAGGGGUUUCAUUAGAAGAGUGGAAUCCUACUAAUUUCUUUUUUUUUUCUUAAAUUCUUUUAUUGGUACAUUUUAGGUAUACAAUACAUUUACAUUUAUCUUUGGGUGCUUGUACCUGUACAUGAUGUAUCUUGGUUCUCAUUUUUCCCCAUUACCUGUGCACCCUUCACUCCUAAACCCUUCCCUAUUUACAUACUUUGUUUCCAUUUUUUUUUCUUUUCUCAUAAUUUUUCCUUUCCAUUCUUUCCUUUCCCCUUCCCCUCCCACCACCCCUAUCCCUUUGGACCUUUUCCUAUUUCAAAGUAUCAAUUAUUAGUUAUUAAUCCUUCUAGUCCUUAUUUACACUCUCAGUUUCUCACACUAGAGAAACUGUUCAGUAUUUACACAUGUGUGUCCUAUUUAUUUCACUUAAGAGUAUGGCCUCGAUAUGCAUCCAUUUAGCUAUAAAUGACUCUAGUUUCUCAUUCUUUAUGGCUGAGUAGUACUCCAUUUUAUAAAAAAACCCACAUCUUCUUUAUCCAGUUUCCAGUUGAUGGGCAUUUGGGCUGUUUUCAAGCUUUCACUAUUACAAACUGUGCUGCAAUAAAUAUGAGUGCACAUAUAUCACUGUGGUAUGAUUCUUUUAAUUCUUUUGGGAAAUACCCAGGAGGGAAAUAGCUGGGUCAAAUGGGACCUCUAGUCCUAGUUCUCUGAGGUCUCUCCAUACUGAUUUCCACAGUGGUUGCACCAGUCUGCACUCCCACCAGCAGUGGAGAAGGGUUCCUUUCUCUCCACAACCCCGCCAGCAUUUGUUAUUGGUUGAUUUCUUGAUAGCAGCUACUCUUUCUGGGGUGAGGUGGAAUCUCAGUGUUGUUUUCAUUUGCAUCUCUCGAAUGACCAGUGAUGUUGAACAUUUUUUCAUAUGUUUAUUUGCUGCUUUUACUUCUUUGUCUGAGAAAUGUCUGUUCAUUUCAGAUGCCCAUUUUUGAAUUGGGUCUUUGAAUUUGGGGAGUCUGAUUUUUUCAGUUCUUUACAUAUUCUAGAUAGUAGUCCUUUGUCUGAGGUACAGCUGCUAAAAAUUUUUCCCACAUUGUAGGUUGUCUGUUAGCUCUGUUGGUGGUUUCUCUUACAGUUCAUACAGUUCAGAAGCUUUUUAAUAAGAUGAGAUCCAAGUUGUUCAUUCUUUGUGCUAGUUCCCCUGCUACUGAGGUUUUGUUCAUAAAGUCUUUUCCUAUGCCAAUGACUCCAAGAGUUCUACCUAACUUAUCUUCCAGCAAGUUUAGUGUUUCUGUCUUAAUAUUUAGAUCUUCAAUCCACUUUGAUCUUAGUUCAGUGCAUGGUGAUAGGUAUGGGUCUAGUUUUAAUCUUUGGCAGGUUGAAAUCCAAUUUUUCCAACACCAUUUAUUAAAUAGGCUAUCUUUCCUCCAAUGAGGGUGGUUGGCUCCUUUGUCAAAGAUGAGGUGGCUGAGUAUGUCUGGAAUUGCUUCUGCAUCUUCUAAUCUAUUCCACUGAUCCUUGGGUCUGUUUCUUUGCCAGUAUCAUGCUGUUUUUAUCACAGUAGCUUUGUAGUAUAGCUUCAGGUUGGGGAUUGUGAUACCCCCAGCCAUGUCUCUGUUGCCCAGAAUUACUUUUGUUAUUCUAGGUCUCUUCUGGUUCCAAAUGAAUUUUUGGAUUGUUUUCUCUAGCUCUUGUGAAGUAUAUUAUUGGAAUUUCAAUCAGCAUUGCAUUAAAGCUAUAUAGUAGUUUUGGAAGUAUGGCCAUUUUCACUACAUUGGUUCUUCCUACCCAGAAACAAGAGAUGUUUUUCCAUUUUCUUAUAUCCUCCUCGAUCUCCUUUUUCAGGGUGCUGUAGUUUUCAGUGUAGAGGUCUUUUGCUUCCUUUGUUAGAUUGAUUCCUAGAUAUUUCAUUUUUUGGAUGCUAUUGUAAAAGGAAUUGCUUCCCUAAUUUCUCUCUCAGUGAGUCUGCUAUUUGUGUAUAAGAAGGCUAUUGUUUUUUGAGUGUUGACCUUAUAUCCAGCUACUCUACUGAAUCUGUCAAUUAAGUCUAGAAGUCUUUUGGCCGAGUUUUUUGGGUCUUCUACGUAAAGUAUCAUAUCAUCAGCAAAUAAUGACAGUUUAACUUCUUCCUUUCCUAUCUUUAUUCCUUUUAUUUCUUUCUCUUUUCUGAUUGCUGUGGCUAAUGUUUCCAGAACUAUAUUGAACAGGAGUGGUGGUAGUGGGCAUCCUUGUCUUGUUCCUGAUUUUAGCGUGAAAGUUUUCAGGCUUUGACCAUUUAGUAUGAUGUUGGCUGUUGCUUUUAUAUAGAUAGCCUUAAUCAGGUUGAGAUAAAGACCUUCUAUUCCAAUUUUCUGUAGCGUUUUUAUCAUGAAUGGGUGUUGGAUUUUGUCGAAUGCCUUUUCUGCAUCUAUUGAGAUGAUCAUAUGGUUUUUGUCCUUGAUUCUGUUAAUAUAGUGUAUUACAUUUAUUGAUUUAUGAAUGUUGAACCAUCCUUGCAUCCCAGGGAUAAAUCCGACUUGGUCAGGGUGUAUGAUCUUCUUGAUGACCCUCUGUAUUCUAUUUGCCAGUAUCUUGUUGAGGACUUUUGCAUCUAUGUUCAUUAGGGAGAUUGGCCUGUAGUUCUCUUUUUGGGUUGGGUCUUUCCCUGGUUUUGGAAUCAAAGUAACACUUGCUUCCAGGAAUGAAUUUGGAAGUAUUGCUUCCCUUUCAAUUUCCUUGAUGAGUUUAAAGAGUAAUGGCAAUAGUUCUUCUUUAAAUGUCUUGUAGGAUUCAGCAGUGAAGCCAUCGGUACCUGAGCUUUUCUUUGUUGGUAAAUUUUUUAUUACAUUUUCAACUUCACUCAUUGUAAUUGGGGUGUUUAGAAUUUCUAUAUCUUCUUCAUUUAACUUUGGCAAUUCAUAUGUAUCUAGGAAUCUGUCCAUUUCUUCUGUGUUUUCCAUUUUAUUAGAGUACAGGUUCUUGAAGUGUAGGUAUUGAUGAUCCUCUGGAUUUCUGAUGGUUCUGUUGUGACUUCCCCUUUUUCAUUCUUAAUUGCAUGGAUUUGAGUCUUUUCUUUCCUUUUUUUGAUAAGGUUGGCUAAAGGUUUAUUGAUUUUAUUUAUUCUUUCAAAAAACCAACUCUUUGAUUCAUUAAUUUUUUGUGUCAUUCUCUUAGUCUCCAUUGCAUUGGUUUCUUCUCUGAUCUUUAUAAUUUCCUCUCUUGUGUGGGCUUUGGGUUUAUUAUUCUCUUCUUUUUCUAGGAGCUUGAGGUUCUGCAUUAGAUUAUUUAUCUGAGUUCUCUCUGUUUUCCUAAUAUGGGCAUUCACUGCUAUGAAUUUCCCUCGUAGAACUGCCUUCAUUGUGUCCCAUAGAUUCCUGUAUGUUGUACUGGCAUUAUCAUUUACUUGUAGAAACUGUCUAAUUUCGUCUUUAAUUCCCUUCACUUUUCCAGUGGGCUUGUUUUCAUCAGGGAGCCUGAGACAGGCACUCUCUCUGUUGUUCACUUCUGGAGCUCAGGACAAUGGCUUUUGUUCCCCUGUGCCUCUGCAGUGUGUAACCAAGUAGCUGCACAGCCAAAAGGCCAGAGGCUGGCGGUGGGGUGGGGGUGUGUGUUGUAUUGUUGGAGGCACCCGCGUGACC
rnacentral:lncRNA from 1 species